UAAAUUGAGAGUUUGAUCCUGGCUCAGGAUGAACGCUGGCGGCGUGCUUAACACAUGCAAGUCGAGCGAUGAAGUUUCCUUCGGGAAACGGAUUAGCGGCGGACGGGUGAGUAACACGUGGGUAACCUGCCUCAUAGAGUGGAAUAGCCUUCCGAAAGGAAGAUUAAUACCGCAUAAUGUUGAAAGAUGGCAUCAUCAUUCAACCAAAGGAGCAAUCCGCUAUGAGAUGGACCCGCGGCGCAUUAGCUAGUUGGUGGGGUAACGGCCUACCAAGGCGACGAUGCGUAGCCGACCUGAGAGGGUGAUCGGCCACAUUGGGACUGAGACA
rnacentral:rRNA from 1 species